rnacentral:tRNA from 2 species
GCGGCUAUAGUUCAAUGGUAGAACACCGGUUUGUGGUACCGGACACGAGGGUUCAAUUCCCUCUAGCCGCCCCA